UAGCUCAGUGGUAGAGUGCGUGCCUGGCAUGCACAGGUCCUGGGUUCAAUCCCCAG
rnacentral:tRNA from 1 species